rnacentral:rRNA from 1 species
UUCUUUUAGAAAAGAUUAAAAGUAAUUUCUGCUCCAUGAAUUUAAUAGCCGCAGUUUUCUGUGCUAAGGUAGCAUAAUCAAUUGUCUAUUAAUUGUAGACUAGAAUGAAGGAAGAUAUAAUUAAUAACUUUAUUCUUUAUAAAAAUUUAAAUUUAAAAUCAAAUAAAAAUGUUUGAGUAAAUAAUAGGGACAAGAAGACCCUAUAAAGCUUAAUAUAUUUUUUUAUUAAGUAAUGGAAAAUUAUGUUUAAUUGGGGAAAUUAAUUAUAAAUAAAAAAUAUAAAAAUAAUGAAAUAGCUAAAUCUAAAAAUUUUGAUCCAUAAAUUAUGAAAAGUUGAAAAAGUUACUUUAGGGAUAACAGGAUAAUUUUAUUUGAAAAGUACAUAUUUAUAAGUAAGAUUAUUACCUCGAUGUUGAAUUAAUUUUAUUUUAUGGUGAAGAAGCUAUGAAAAAUUUAACUGUUCGUUAAUUAAAUAAUUACA